rnacentral:rRNA from 1 species
GACGAACGCUGGCGGCGUGCUUAACACAUGCAAGUCGAACGGAAAGGCCCUGCUUUUGUGGGGUGCUCGAGUGGCGAACGGGUGAGUAACACGUGAGUAACCUGCCCUUGACUUUGGGAUAACUUCAGGAAACUGGGGCUAAUACCGGAUAGGAGCUCCUGCUGCAUGGUGGGGGUUGGAAAGUUUCGGCGGUUGGGGAUGGACUCGCGGCUUAUCAGCUUGUUGGUGGGGUAGUGGCUUACCAAGGCUUUGACGGGUAGCCGGCCUGAGAGGGUGACCGGCCACAUUGGGACUGAGAUACGGCCCAGACUCCUACGGGAGGCAGCAGUGGGGAAUAUUGCACAAUGGGCGGAAGCCUGAUGCAGCAACGCCGCGUGCGGGAUGACGGCCUUCGGGUUGUAAACCGCUUUCGCCUGUGACGAAGCGUGAGUGACGGUAAUGGGUAAAGAAGCACCGGCUAACUACGUGCCGGCAGCCGCGGUGAUACGUAGGGCGCGAGCGUUGUCCGGAUUUAUUGGGCGUAAAGGGCUCGUAGGUGGUUGAUCGCGUCGGAAGUGUAAUCUUGGGGCUUAACCCUGAGCGUGCUUUCGAUACGGGUUGACUUGAGGAAGGUAGGGGAGAAUGGAAUUCCUGGUGGAGCGGUGGAAUGCGCAGAUAUCAGGAGGAACACCAGUGGCGAAGGCGGUUCUCUGGGCCUUUCCUGACGCUGAGGAGCGAAAGCGUGGGGAGCGAACAGGCUUAGAUACCCUGGUAGUCCACGCUGUAAACGGUGGGUACUAGGUGUGGGGUCCAUUCCACGGGUUCCGUGCCGUAGCUAACGCUUUAAGUACCCCGCCUGGGGAGUACGGCCGCAAGGCUAAAACUCAAAGGAAUUGACGGGGCCCCGCACAAGCGGCGGAGCAUGCGGAUUAAUUCGAUGCAACGCGUAGAACCUUACCUGGGUUUGACAUGGAUCGGGAGCGCUCAGAGAUGGGUGUGCCUCUUUUGGGGUCGGUUCACAGGUGGUGCAUGGCUGUCGUCAGCUCGUGUCGUGAGAUGUUGGGUUAAGUCCCGCAACGAGCGCAACCCUUGUUCACUGUUGCCAGCACGUUAUGGUGGGGACUCAGUGGAGACCGCCGGGGUCAACUCGGAGGAAGGUGGGGAUGACGUCAAGUCAUCAUGCCCCUUAUGUCCAGGGCUUCACGCAUGCUACAAUGGCUGGUACAGAGAGUGGCGAGCCUGUGAGGGUGAGCGAAUCUCGGAAAGCCGGUCUCAGUUCGGAUUGGGGUCUGCAACUCGACCUCAUGAAGUCGGAGUCGCUAGUAAUCGCAGAUCAGCAACGCUGCGGUGAAUACGUUCCCGGGGCU